rnacentral:misc_RNA from 1 species
UCCGGCUUAUCACCGGCAGUUUCCUCAGAGUGCUCAGCAUAACCUGUUAGCAACAGAGGACGAGGGUUGCGCUCGUUGCGGGACUUAACCCAACACCUCACGGCACGAGCUGACGACAGCCAUGCACCACCUGCGCAGAAGUCCCUUGCGGGAGGUGCUCACUUUCGUGAGCAUUUCCUCUGCAUGUCAAACCCAGGUAAGGUUCUUCGCGUUGCCUCGAAUUAAACCACACGCUCCGCUGCUUGUGCGGGCCCCCGCCAAUUCCUUUGAGUUUUAACCUUGCGGUCGUAGUCCCCAGGCGGAGCACUUAUCGCGUUAGCUGCGCUACCGGAGGGGUCGAUACCCCCCACACCUAGCAUCCACCGUUUAGGGCGUGGACUAC